AUAUUUCCCCCCUAUUAUUUCUCAACCUAUUUUGAAAUUAGGAAAUCAUAUGGAAACAGCAGGAGGAUUCCUAGCCUUGUGCUAUUUCCUUCCCCUGUGAUCAUGAAGUUUUAUUGCUGCAUGAGCCCCGCUGCCUACCAUUUCAGAGGAACUCAGCAAGAGGCUGGUGAGCACUUGCCAUUAUGCAUGGGGCUGGUCCAUCACGUGAAGGUGCUGCAGCCUGAGCACUGCUGUGAGCAGAAACACAUAACACAGCCUUCAAGUGGGAAAGACUCCAGAUCUGUACUCUCGCCCAUGUAUUUAACUAGCACUUCUGCAGUGGAAGCAGCAUGUGGAUAAUGGCAGCGGAAGAGGAAAUGGUUUCUACAACAUGAGAGAUGAAAGUGGAAGAGGGAAACACUUCUGUAGCUGUGAGAAGGAAUUUGACUGGUUGUGACUGAAAAAGUAAAGAUUCUGAGAAGAAAGAACAUCAUGAAAAGGGAUAAAAAAUGGUGAACAGUUCUGAACAGAUGAAGAGAUCAUUGGUCAGAAAUGCAACAACUUCAGCAGGAUAUGAUAGAAUUCAAAAAUUUCCUGAUGCAGGAUGGAUAUUCACAUCAAAUGCUG
rnacentral:lncRNA from 1 species